rnacentral:rRNA from 1 species
UACGAACUGUGCAAACGUUAUUCGGAAUCACUGGGCUUAAAGGGUGCGUAGGCGGCUUGUUAAGUAGGGUGUGAAAUCCCCCGGCUCAACCGGGGAAUUGCGCCCUAAACUGGCGAGCUGGAGUGAGAUAGGGGUGUGUGGAACUUCCAGUGGAGCGGUGAAAUGUGUUGAUAUUGGAAGGAACGCCAGUGGCGAAAGCGACACACUGGGUCUCAACUGACGCUGAGGCACGAAAGCCAGGGGAGCAAAC